GCAGGACACAAAAGAAAGGACUGCUGAACCUUUACAAGACAAGCACAGGACUUCAGACAGUGAUAGCUAACGGAAGGUAUCCUAACAAUCCUCACAGAGACCUCAGAGCAGGAAUUGAGUCUCGUGUUUCUGUUCCCCAACCCCCGGCCUCAGACAGCUGCAAAUGCAUAUUCCAUGUAGAUCCAGGCUCUGAAAUACCGAAUGGAAAUUUACUGGGGCUCUCUAAGAGGCCAGACUCUCACACAAACUGGCCUGCCCCGUGGGACUCUCCACGGUGCCAGAUAUUUUAUGAGGACCGGCAUUCCCAGUUGAUCGAGUCGGACGAAAUGAAACCAAAGAGCUGUGUCUCAAAACCGACUUCUCCUGCUUAAUUGUACACAGGGGACACCCCACUCUAGGCCGGAGUGGAACAAAUCUGAGGUUUGUAGAGUCUACGGAAAGCAUGGGAGGCUUUUGUGUAGUUUUGUUUUCUUUGGAGAAGAAUGGCCAGCACUGGAGCUGGCAGAAAGGUGGAUGCUGCCUUGCAGGAGGAGAAGAACACCAGCAGGCAGAGGAGAACAGUCAAAGCUUCCCAGGCUCUUCUGGAAAAGGGAGAAAAGAGCUGGGGAGGACCGGUCGACCAGCCACUUCAGAAAGGCUGCCCAGCCCAACUGCCUCUGGGGUUUCCCACCUCAGGGAAAAAGAGAGGCUGCUGCCCACAGCAGGAAGUCAGAAGUCACCCAUGGCUGCAGAAAAAGGGACAUAGAGCACCCUCAAAGAUGUGUGUCUAAACAAGAGAUUCCUCUAAUUUUGCUUUCAAAUAUUUGUAUGUAUCUCCUUCUUUAAAUAGGUAAUUUGUUUACAUGGCUUAAAACUUAAGGAAAAAAACCAAACAAAUAAAUUAGUAUAUACCUCUCCUU